AAAUGAAUUGACGGGGACCCGCACAAGCAGCGGAGCAUGUGGUUUAAUUCGAAGCAACGCGAAGAACCUUACCAAGGCUUGACAUGUAUUUGAAUGUUAUAGAAAUAUAGCAGUCUUCGGACAGAUACACAGGUGGUGCAUGGUUGUCGUCAGCUCGUGUCGUGAGAUGUUCGGUUAAGUCCGGCAACGAGCGCAACCCUUAUAUUCAGUUGCCAAUAUUUAUUUAGGAACUCUGGAUAGACUGCCGUGGAUAACACGGAGGAAGGCGGGGAUGACGUCAAAUCAUCAUGCCCUUUAUGCCUUGGGCUACACACGUGCUACAAUGGGCGCUACAAAGGGCAGCAAGUAUGUAAAUAUGAGCGAAUCUCAAAAAAGCGUUCUCAGUUCAGAUUGAGGGCUGAAACCCGCCCUCAUGAAGUCGGAGUUGCUAGUAAUCGCAAAUCAGAAUGUUGCGGUGAAUGCGUUCCCGGGUCUUGUACACACCGCCCGU
rnacentral:rRNA from 1 species